rnacentral:rRNA from 1 species
UGUAGUCAUUAUGCUUGUCUCAAAGAUUAAGCCAUGCAAGUCUAAGUUUAAGCACCUAAACGGCGAAACUGCGAAUGGCUCAUUAAAUCAGUUAUCGUAUAUUUGAUAGUACCUACUACAUGGAUAACCGUGGUAAUUCUAGAGCUAAUACAUGCUUAAAACCCCGACUUCGGAAGGGGUGUAUUUAUUAGAUUAAAAACCAAUGCCCUUCGGGGCUCACUGGUGAUUCAUAAUAACUUCUCGAAUCGCAUGGCCUUGUGCCGGCGAUGGUUCAUUCAAAUUUCUGCCCUAUCAACUUUCGACGGCUGGGUCUUGGCCAGCCGUGGUUACAACGGGUAACGGAGGGUUAGGGCUUGACCCCGGAGAAGGAGCCUGAGAAACGGCUACUACAUCCAAGGAAGGCAGCAGGCGCGCAAAUUACCCAAUCCCGACUCGGGGAGGUAGUGACAAUAAAUACUGAUACAGGGCUCUUUUGGGUCUUGUAAUUGGAAUGAGUACAAUUUAAAUCCCUUAACGAGGAACAAUUGGAGGGCAAGUCUGGUGCCAGCAGCCGCGGUAAUUCCAGCUCCAAUAGCGUAUAUUNAAGUUGUUGCAGUUAAAAAGCUCGUAGUUGAACCUUGGGCCUGGCUGGCCGGUCUGCCUCACCGCAUGCACUGGUCCGGCCGGGCCUUUCCCUCUGGGGAGCCGCAUGCCCUUCACUGGGUGUGUCGGGGAACCAGGACUUUUACUGUGAAAAAAUUAGAGUGUUCAAAGCAGGCAUAUGCUCGAAUACAUUAGCAUGGAAUAAUAGAAUAGGACGUCGCGGUUCUAUUUUGUUGGUUUCUAGGACCGCCGUAAUGAUUAAUAGGGACAGUCGGGGGCAUCAGUAUUCAAUCGUCAGAGGUGAAAUUCUUGGAUCGAUUGAAGACUAACUACUGCGAAAGCAUUUGCCAAGGAUGUUUUCAUUAAUCAGGAACGAAAGUUAGGGGAUCGAAAACGAUCAGAUACCGUUGUAGUCUUAACCAUAAACUAUGCCGACUAGGGAUCGGGCGGUGUUAUUUCUUGACCCGCUCGGCACCUUACACGAAAGUAAAGUUUUUGGGUUCUGGGGGGAGUAUGGUCGCAAGGCUGAAACUUAAAGAAAUUGACGGAAGGGCACCACAAGGGGUGGAGCCUGCGGCUUAAUUUGACUCAACACGGGGAAACUCACCAGGUCCAGACACAACUAGGAUUGACAGAUUGAGAGCUCUUUCUUGAUUUUGUGGGUGGUGGUGCAUGGCCGUUCUUAGUUGGUGGAGUGAUUUGUCUGCUUAAUUGCGAUAACGAACGAGACCUUAACCUGCUAAAUAGCCCGUGCCGCCUAGGCGGCACGCCGGCUUCUUAGAGGGACUAUCGGCUCAAGCCGAUGGAAGUUUGAGGCAAUAACAGGUCAACCGUAUUCACAGGCCUGUAAAAGUAUGGAUCCGUUGGAUGCUGCUAGUCCACACCAGACCCGUGGGGAA